CAAGGUAAAAGCGGUUUGGGUUUCCCUUACAGAUGGACCCCGGGCCCAUUAGCUAGUUGUGGGGUUAUGGCUCACCAAGGGGACGAUGGGUAGCCGACCUGAGAGGGUGAUCGGCCACACUGGGACUGAGACACGGCCCAGAUUCCUACGGGAGGCAGCAGUAGGGAUCUUCCGCAAUGGACGAAAGUCUGACGGAGCAACGCCGCGUGAGUGAUGAAGGUUUUCGGAUCGUAAAGCUCUGUUGUUAGGGAAGAACAAGUGCGAGAGUAACUGCUCGCACCUUGACGGUACCUAACCAGAAAGCCACGGCUAACUACGUGCCAGCAGCCGCGGUAAUACGUAGGUGGCAAGCGUUGUCCGGAAUUAUUGGGCGUAAAGGGCUCGCAGGCGGUUUCUUAAGUCUGAUGUGAAAGCCCCCGGCUCAACCGGGGAGGGUCAUUGGAAACUGGGAAACUUGAGUGCAGAAGAGGAGAGUGGAAUUCCACGUGUAGCGGUGAAAUGCGUAGAGAUGUGGAGGAACACCAGUGGCGAAGGCGACUCUCUGGUCUGUAACUGACGCUGAGGAGCGAAAGCGUGGGGAGCGAACAGGAUUAGAUACCCUGGUAGUCCACGCCGUAAACGAUGAGUGCUAAGUGUUAGGGGGUUUCCGCCCCUUAGUGCUGCAGCUAACGCAUUAAGCACUCCGCCUGGGGAGUACGGUCGCAAGACUGAAACUCAAAGGAAUUGACGGGGGCCCGCACAAGCGGUGGAGCAUGUGGUUUAAUUCGAAGCAACGCGAAGAACCUUACCAGGUCUUGACAUCCUCUGACAACCCUAGAGAUAGGGCUUUCCCUUCGGGGACAGAGUGACAGGUGGUGCAUGGUUGUCGUCAGCUCGUGUCGUGAGAUGUUGGGUUAAGUCCCGCAACGAGCGCAACCCUUGAUCUUAGUUGCCAGCAUUUAGUUGGGCACUCUAAGGUGACUGCCGGUGACAAACCGGAGGAAGGUGGGGAUGACGUCAAAUCAUCAUGCCCCUUAUGACCUGGGCUACACACGUGCUACAAUGGACAGAACAAAGGGCUGCGAGACCGCAAGGUUUAGCCAAUCCCAUAAAUCUGUUCUCAGUUCGGAUCGCAGUCUGCAACUCGACUGCGUGAAGCUGGAAUCGCUAGUAAUCGCGGAUCAGCAUGCCGCGGUGAAUACGUUCCCGGGCCUUGUACACACCGCCCGUCACACCACGAGAGUUUGUAACACCCGAAGUCGGUGAGGUAACCUUUAUGAGUCA
rnacentral:rRNA from 1 species